rnacentral:rRNA from 1 species
GAGAGCCCCGUAAAGCCUUGGAAAGAUAAGCCAUGUGAGGUGUUUUCGACGAGUCGGGUUGUUUGGGAAUCAGCCCUAAAUGGGAGGUAAUUCUCCUAAGCUAAAUAUAGGCAAGAGACCGAUAGCGAACAAGUACCGUGAGGGAAAGAUGAAAAGAACCUUUGAAAAGAGAGUUAAACAGUAUGGUGAAAUUGUCAAAAGGGAACGGCGGUGGAAUCAGUCAUGCCGUCCUGGGAUUCAGCGUGCGAGGCGGCCCCCACUAGGGUUGCGGAGCGCGUGUACUUUCCGGGGCAUUAAGCAGGCAACGACAGAUCUUUCCUCGCGUCAAAGGACUCGCGGUAGUAACCAGCCUGCAAGGUACGGUGAUAUAACCCCUUGAACGCGAUAUAGGCCGCUUUGAACCGCCGAUUAGGCGUGUGGAGGGGAUUGAAGGACUGCAGGGGCGCAUUGGGUCCCCGGUGGCGGGCGAAGGUUUUCGGUAAGUCUGCGUGCAGGCUGCUGGAAGCACGAAACUCCUUUUUAUCCGCCGGGUCGAUCUCUCCGUUUCCCUAAGGGUUGUUGGCGAAAUGGUUUCAUACCACCCGUCUUGAAACACGGCCAAGGAUGUCAACAUGAUGCGAGUGUAGGGUGAUUGAAACCCGACGCGCAGUCAAAGCGAUUCAGAUGGAUCCCUCCUCCCUUAUUGCGGGGGGUGGUGCACCGUCGGCCGGGUCAGAUAUUUUACAUUUGAAAGAUCUGGCNUNNGCAUGAUGUUGGGCCCGAAAGAUGGUGACUAUGCCU